GGGGAUUUAGCUCAGCGGCAUAAGCGCCUGCCUUGCAAGCAGGCAGUCGUGAGUUAGAUCCCCA
rfam:Cavia porcellus supercont2_25 genomic scaffold, whole genome shotgun sequence.